rfam:Gasterosteus aculeatus cont1.004544, whole genome shotgun sequence.
UUAAAAAUGCAAUGUAAGUCGCUUUGGAUAAAAGCGUCAGCUAAAUGACUGUAC